rnacentral:rRNA from 1 species
GAUGAACGCUGGCGGCGUGCUUAACACAUGCAAGUCGAACGAGAAAUGGAGACGGACACCUUCGGGCGGAAGGCUUCAUUUCGAGUGGCGGACGGGUGAGUAACGCGUGGGUAACCUGCCUCAUACAGGGGGAUAACAGUUGGAAACGACUGUUAAUACCGCAUAAGACCACAGCACCGCAUGGUGCGGGGGUAAAAACUCCGGUGGUAUGAGAUGGACCCGCGUUCGAUUAGCCAGUUGGCGGGGUAACGGCCCACCAAAGCGACGAUCGAUAGCCGAUCGGGGAGGAUGACCGGCCACAUUGGGACUGAGACACGGCCCAAACUCCUACGGGAGGCAGCAGUGGGGAAUAUUGCACAAUGGGGGAAACCCUGAUGCAGCGACGCCGCGUGAGUGAAGAAGUACUUCGGUAUGUAAAGCUCUAUCAGCAGGGAAGAAAAUGACGGUACCUGAGUAAGAAGCCCCGGCUAACUACGUG